GACGAACGCUGGCGGCGUGCCUAAUACAUGCAAGUCGAGCGAAGUUUUUCUGGUGCUUGCACCGGAAAAACUUAGCGGCGAACGGGUGAGUAACACGUAAAGAACCUGCCUCAUAGACUGGGACAACUAUUGGAAACGAUGGCUAAUACCGGAUAACAGCAUUAACUGCAUGGUUGAUGUUUAAAAGUUGGUUUUGCUAACACUAUGAGAUGGCUUUGCGGUGCAUUAGCUAGUUGGUGGGGUAAAGGCCUACCAAGGCGACGAUGCAUAGCCGACCUGAGAGGGUGAUAGGCCACACUGGGACUGAGACACGGCCAAGACUCCUACGGGAGGCAGCAGUAGGGAAUCUUCCGCAAUGGGCGAAAGCCUGACGGAGCAACGCCGCGUGAGUGAAGAAGGAUUUCGGUUCGUAAAGCUCUGUUGUUAGGGAAGAAUGAUUGUGUAGUAACUAUACACAGUAGAGACGGUACCUAACCAGAAAGCCACGGCUAACUACGUG
rnacentral:rRNA from 1 species